rnacentral:lncRNA from 1 species
GGAGCCCUGGCUGGCUGACCCCCACCCCUGAAUUCAUCCCCACCAGCCACCAAUGAGGACGAAAGCAUCACUUGGCCGUAUGGCCACCAUGGACCGUCCCUUUCAGGUUGUUGUGGGUCGUCAUGGAAACAAAGAUGUCUUAAUGUUAAGAAUAAUUUGCUCCUUAAUGGAAACAGUCUCUCUCUAAAGGAAGGUUAACUUGGGAGCCAUCAGAGCCAUCCCCGGCCGCUGGCCCCGCCACGCCCCUGUCCUACUUUGGUCUGCUUGCCUGGAGAUCUUAAUUUUGAUGAUGUAUGAGGUGUCAGCCAGAAGGUCUUGUGCUCCACUGAGAAGCACUAUAAAAAGGCAGAUGUAUGACUGUGUCAUCCACAAAUACCCUAGAAAGUUAAGUGUUAAAUCAAUGUUAAUAAUAAAUGUUUCCCUCUGAAGUAGGUUACGGCAGCAUCGCCGGAGCUGUUUAAAAUGUAACAAACCAACAAACUCUCAGGGAGCUGAAGGAUGCCUACCCCUGCCAUGGUCCCUGCCAUGCAGCCAGGAAAGUUGUUAAAUGCCAGCCCAUCUGGUCUGCUUGGAACCCUUGGAUGGAAAGAGGACUCACCCCUCCAAACAUCUGAACUUGAUCUCUACAAACGAGAAGUCUUGGGACCAGAAAGCCCCCAGGGGUGAAAGAGGAAAAGUGAGAGCCAUCGCGUCCCUCCAUUCCUAGGACCCAAGACUCAGCGAUCAAAACAGACCCUGCCAGCACUCCAGCUUCCCAAGAAACACUGGAGAUGAAUAAAUGAUUCACCACGUGGCCAGGACUGCAGCCCUUUCUCUGGAAGAGAAUUCAAGCCCACUUUAUUUAAACCAAGGGGCUACAGACCUGGUGGUGGAGGUCUUCAACCACUGGAAUUCCCUUGGGAGACCAUUAGAAUGGUAUUUUUUUACCCUUUACUUGGCUAUGGGGUUCCCUGAAUAGUGAUACCUCCCUAAGGAGAAAAGUGCAAGGCCUCGCCACUGUUUUCCAGCAACAAAGGAAUGAAUUCCAUAAGCUCCUGCUGAACAUACUGCUAGAGUUAGAAUGUGUGUCAAAGUGAGAUGAUUCUUUGAAGGUCUUUGUAAGCCAGUGUUAUCCCAGAGUUGGGGCCUCGACUCAGCCCUGAGGGGCAGAGGCCCAUAGCCCAAGGCUUUCCCAGCCAGUGACAUCACCCCAUGCCAGAGUGUUAGGGUAACUUGGAGCCCUCCUUUAACCCCCCCCCGCCCCCACUUAAAAAAAAAAAAAGCCUUUAUUAGAUACUUUUUAUAUAGCAAGACUGUUCUAAUUAUUUUAUUUUUGCUUUUUUUAAAAAAAAUUGGGAGUAUAAUUGGUU